rnacentral:tRNA from 1 species
UGCGGGAUCGUCUAACGGUAGGACUCUGGCCUCUGGCGCCAGCUAUCUAGGUUCGAAUCCUAGUCCCGCAG